AACUAUUUUGGCAGAUGAUAUGCACUGGACUUAGGAUCCUGUUAAAUAGAGAAUUCUAUAAAUAGU
rnacentral:tRNA from 1 species